rnacentral:lncRNA from 1 species
GAGAGACUAUGUAGUAAGGACAUGAUGUAUGAACUACAGAUUUAUAUUUUGGUGAAUUGUAAAAGAAUGGUUAAACAAGUGAAUGAAUGUAAUAGUUUAGUUAAAUUUCUCUUUUGCUCUUGUGUUUUCUCUCGCGCAAAUCAUGUAUGUUGAUUAUGUUUUACCUGGGCAAACUAGAUGUACAUGAUGUUGUUAAGCCUU